rnacentral:misc_RNA from 1 species
GGUACAUUAACAUUGGCUUCUCAGAUUUGCAAUUAGGUGGGCUAUUGUGGUUCUGACUUAUUAUCCUGUAGAGCAGACACAUUGGCAUCCAUAUGACAGAGACUUGCAGUUUCACUGGUGACCAAAGUAGGAUACCUUGCAUAAUUUCACUCAUUUAGCUGAUAAAGGGGCAGUAAAAAAAGUAGUAGGAAAAAAUUUGUUCACUCAUUUGAGUGAAUUAAAUCCUCAUUAAGUUUUCAUGUGAUCGUCUCAUGUGAAGUUUGAUCUAUUUGAAUUUAAGUAAGAGGACUCCUUUUCUCCUUUUUACAUUUCUCUUGCUUCUGUUCUUGGAAAAAAUGUUGCUAUUCCAGGCUAAUUAUCAAGCUUGUGCACAGGUUUUUUUGAUGCUUUCCAUUUGAUUGCUAU